GGGAUUCGAUUGUUUCAGCAGCCGCGGUAAUACAUAGGGUGCAAGCGUUGUCCGGAUUUAUUGGGCGUAAAGAACUCGUAGGUGGUUUGUUACGUCGGAUGUGAAACUCUGGGGCUCAACCCCAGACCUGCAUCCGAUACGGGCAGACUAGAGUGUGGUAGGGGAGACUGGAAUUCCUGGUGUAGCGGUGGAAUGCGCAGAUAUCAGGAGGAACACCAAUGGCGAAGGCAGGUCUCUGGGCCAUUACUGACACUGAGGAGUGAAAGUGUGGGGAGCGAACAGGAUUAGAUACCCUGGUAGUCCACACCGUAAACGAUGGACGCUAGUUGUGGGGACCUUCCACGGUUUCUGCGACGCAGCUAACGCAUUAAGCGUCCCGCCUGGGGAGUACGAUCGCAAGAUUAAAACUCAAAGGAAUUGACUGGGCCCCGCACAAGCAGCGGAGCAUGCGGCUUAAUUCGACGCAACGCGAAGAACCUUACCAAGGCUUGACAUAUAGGGAAAAGCAGCAGAGAUGUUGUGUCCGCAAGGGCCCUAUACAGGUGGUGCAUGGUUGUCGUCAGCUCGUGUCGUGAGAUGUUGGGUUAAGUCCCGCAACAAGCGCAACCCUCAUUCUGUGUUGCCAGCAUUUAGUUGGGGACUCACAGGAGACUGCCGUGGUUAACACGGAGGAAGGUGGGGAUGACGUCAAAUCAUCAUGCCCCUUAUGUCUUGGGCUGCACGCAUGCUACAAUGGCUGGUACAAACGGCUGCAAUACCGCAAGGUUGAGCGAAUCCGAAAAAGCCAGUCUCAGUUCGGAUUGGGGUCUGCAACUCGACCCCAUGAAGUCGGAGUUGCUAGUAAUCGUAGAUCAGCAACGCUACGGUGAAUACGUUCCCGGGGCUUGUACACACCGCCCGUCAAAC
rnacentral:rRNA from 1 species